rnacentral:rRNA from 1 species
UACGUAGGUGGCGAGCGUUAUCCGGAAUGAUUGGGCGUAAAGGGUGCGUAGGCGGCCUGCUAAGUCUGGAGUGAAAGGUACCGGCUCAACCGGUACAGGCUCUGGAAACUGGCGGGCUAGAGAGCAGGAGAGGGCGGUGGAACUCCAUGUGUAGCGGUAAAAUGCGUAGAUAUUAGGAAGAACACCAGUGGCGAAGGCGAUUCUCUGGACUGUAACUGACGCUGAGGCUCGAAAGCGUGGGGAGCAAACAGG